UAAGUAGGUGGCACGCGUUGUCCGGAAUUAUUGGGCGUCAAGCGCGCGCAGGCGGACUCGUAUGUCGGAUGUGAAAGCCCCCGGCUCAACCGGGGAGGGCCAUUGGAAACUGGGAGGCUUGAGUACAGGAGAGAAGAGUGGAAUUCCACGUGUAGCGGUGAAAUGCGUAGAGAUGUGGAGGAACACCAGUGGCGAAGGCGGCUCUUUGGCCUAUAACUGACGCUGAGGCGCGAAAGCGUGGGGAGCAAACAGG
rnacentral:misc_RNA from 1 species